CUCUUUCUCUCUCUCCUCCUGUGUCCCUCUCCCGUGUUCUUUCUCUCUGGACUUCUCCUGUGUGUUGCUCUGAUGGAAAUGUGGAGGAUCUUUCUGUCUGUCUCUCUGGUGGUCCAGCACAGUUCAGCUGAAGAAGAUGGUGAACCCCACAUCUUACUAUCAUCUCAACACAGCUGUGCCAAUUCUGCUGCUGUGCUGUGCUUCACAAUCUCACUCUUCUCAACGGGGAUGUCGUUGAGCAACAGGACGAGGAAGACCAUGAUGUCGGCUCUCUGAACCACACAACCUUGAAGCGAGAGCAGAAGAACACGUGCAGGACAAUCUGACUGCUGCUGUGUCUGCUCCAAACAAUCGUGUGCCUGCUCUCCAUAAGCACCACUACCUUGAAAACAUUACAAAAUGCUCUCGCUGCUCUGGGGCCACUGAUGAGGAAGAGACCACAGCAGCAUCUUGUCCUGGUGAGAGCUGGAGUGAUGGAGCAUCUCAUCCAUAUCUCUGGACCAUUUCCGGACGCUGCAGUGGAAUACACACACACA